UAGAGAACCUUUAAAUGCAGGUAUAUAAAAUAUUCCAUGUACAAAGAAUUCUUUUAAUACCCCAUGUGUUUUACAUAACUGAUGGUGCAAGUACAUUUUAUAACUUUUAACUUUUAACUUUCACUGUUCUGUAGUGCAUCAACAGAAGUAGUUUGACUGAACCGCUGACAGGUCUUUAAAUUUCACAUUUGUGCGAGCUGGAAAGACGAAGUCACAACAACGUACAGCUGGAUAUAAAAGACUUAAGAGGCAACACGUCGUACAUACACUAGAUGGCACCACGCCUACACAAGUGUCCACAUGCUGGACAUUAAGCAGCACCAAAAAGGUAGACCAAAGAGAUUAAAAAUAAAUAUUUAUUCUUUUUAAAACAGCAAAUAUCCACAGGACAACAGCUGCAUCUGUUUGGAGGAAGAGCAAUGUCAGAAACAGUGUUCAAGCGAAUGGAAGAUUAGGAAGUAAUCAUUUUUCCCAGCCGGAUCCUCUUCCACACGGCUUUGGGAUGAACACGCCGGACUGGCUUGUAUGAUGCCGAUGGUUGCUGGGGGGCCGCGAAGGCCUGCUGCGGCACCGAGGGACGCUGGGGGGGCAGGUAGGCCUGCCCUGGCACUACCGGGUGUGGGGGGUCCAGGUAGAUCUGCUGCGGCACCGAGGGACGCUGGGGGGGCAGGUAGGCCUUCCCCGGCGCUAAUGGGCGCAGGGGGUCCAGGUAGGCCUGCCCCGGCGCUGAGGGACGCUGAGGGAACAGGUAGGCCUGCCCCGGCGCUGAGGGGCGCGGGGGGUCCAGGUAGAUCUGCAGCGAGGGACGCUGAGGGAACAGGUAGGCCUUCCCCGGCGCUAACGGGCGCUGGGGUUCCAGGUAGAUCUGCUGCGGCACCGAGGGACGCUGAGGGAACAGGUAGAUCUGCUGCGGCGCUGAGGGACGCUGAGGGUCCACGUAUUCCUGCUGCCGUACAGGCUGGCGCCCGGGAGCCCUGCCGGUCGGCUUACUGUAUAUCACGCUCUCCUUCUCAGCGGGUUCCUUCAGUUGUAUGAUGGCGUGGCCACCGAAGCGCUCGGGGAUGGAGAUGGGUCCGAAGUGCUGCGCAGAGGUCCUGGACGCAGGGAGGUCACGGGCGCCCUGCGCCGGGUUACUGCCGCGCCAGGGGGUUUUGCGGUAGAUCUUACUGCCGGGCCUCUGCUUGGAGAAGCUCGUUGUUCCACUGGCUUCGUUGGACGCCGUAGACUGGCUGUGACGUUGGGGGAUAAAGGUGACGUGGGGCGCUGAAGCAGGCGUGUAGCUUUGUUGGGCUUGUCCUGCCUUCAUAGGGACCUCUGGGUGUUGGUUUCCAGCCUCCGGCCAACUCGGGAUAUUUCCAUUUCUCUCACUUGUUGGUGAGGACAAACGGGUCGGGUUAGAUGCCUCAGAGCCCAGACGCGAAGACACCAGUGUGGCGAACGCGCUGGCCGAUGUCGCCGUGCGACCAGGGAUUUGGUUUAGCAGAGCAGCAUCUAUGUCAGCAUCCAUGUCCAACAGGCUCAACGGAUAGUUGCCAGUACUCGGUGUAUUUGACCAAGUUCCCCUGCUAAUGGUAGUUUGAUGGUGCGUUUCAAAUGAACCACCACCAAUAAGAGCAGUAGAAAGGCCAAAUAUUUGCAGUGGCAUAGUUUCCUGAUUCAAGUUGGGUUUUGACUCAGAGCUGCUCUGCACCAACCCGGCAAAAACGCUGCUUGGUCUCGGAGCUGCAGGAGAAAACAAAAAACGCAUUAAUGCACAACCAAUACAUCACACCAAUAACUGAAGAGAACGGUGUUGCUCACCUUUCG
ensembl:lncRNA